UGUAGAGAGUGCAGCAGUACAUACUUAAAAGGGUUUAAAAAACUUCGCCAGUUAUAAACAUAAACUUCGACAGUUCAAAAUAAAAACUUCAGCUCUAGAGCUGAAAUUCGACAGUUAUAAAAGAAAAAUUUCUGCUCUAAAGCUGAAGUAGCUAAAGUUCGACAGUUACAAAAUAAAAAUGUCAGCUCUAGAGCUGAAGUUCAACAGUAACAAUUCAAAUACGUCAGCUCUAGAGCUGAAGUUCGCCAGUUACAAGAAUAAAAACUUUAGCUCUAGAGCUGAAGUUAGCAAGUUACAAAAACAAAAACUGCAGCACACUUGCUGCUUCAGGCAAGUCUACUAGAAUGUUAAAGUUUUGCGUGACUGCAUUUGCUAAUUUAGCCCCGUAUGCUGAAGUUAUACGAAAAAGUGGGUACACUUAUAAUUAUUUUUUUGUAAAGCGGGCACAAGUUAAAACAUGAUACAAAAAGCGGGUAUAGAUGCAAAUCCCC
rnacentral:lncRNA from 1 species